GCUUGUAAACUUUUACUCGAGAAAACAAUUAUAAAAGAGGCAUUGCAUUCCGAUUGUCAUUUUGAAAAAGGUUCACUCUGAUUGAAUUUAAAGAGGACCGCGAAUGUUUCAUAUCAAAGUAUUUGUUGUUUUGUUUGAAAAAAAAAGUGCGUACUUUUGGACUCUCGAAAAUCGGGAUGUUACAGAAUCUAGGGGGAUUGCAACAUCAUAGAUUCAUAAUGUUAAAAUCAAUCGACGAGAGAAAUACAAAGGAGACUAUUAGGGUUUGAUAACAUUACAAUGAGCAAAGCUUAAUUGCAUAGUCUUACAAUAAGAAUAUAUACUAGGAAAAUAGGUAAAUUGAAAAGUCUAAAUUACUCUUACUACUAACUACUAAUAAUAACUACUCUAUAUUAUCUAACAUCUCCCCGCAAACUCACAAUGCCUUUACAUGACAUAAAGCAUUGAGAGUUUGUCAUACAAAAUUAAAACCCAAAAUAGAAGAAAUAAAACCAAAUCAACUAAAAUUGUAACCAGCAGAAAGCAGCAACUAGCAACCAAAAGCGAGAACCAUCCGAGAGAGAAGUAGCAGCCAAAGAGAGAAACCAUCAUCCAAACAGAAGGAGAAAUCAUCGGACAUAAACAUCCAAAUAGAAGAGAAGUCAAUAGAGAAAAGCAUCCAAAAUGAGUAACCAUCAUACAGAAGCAUCAGCCAAACCGAAGAAGAGAACUAUCAAAAGGAAGAACUAAUUCAAACCAAAUUUAUCCAAUCCAAACUAAACCAAAUCAAAUUGUACCAAUCCAAUCAAACAAAAAACAACAAAAAGAAGAACCAAACCAAACAGAAAGAUCAUCCAAUAGAGAGAACCAAUCAAAUAGAAGAACAAACAAAGAGAGGGGAAUUCAAACAGAAGAAUCAACGGGGAGAAGUGCAAUCAUUUAGAAGAAUCAAUAGAGAAAAAUGCAAUCAAUCAGAAGAAAUCAAUAGGGGGAGGAGUGCAAUCAAUCAGAAGAAAUCAAUAGAGAAGACCGAUCAAACAAAAGAACCAGAGAAGUAGCAUCAGAAGAGAGAAACCAUUAGAUAGAAGAACCAAACAAAUAGAAGAAGUCAACACACAGAAGCAAUCAACAAAAGAAAUCAUCAAGGAGAAGAAGCAACCAGAUAGAAUUCAGACAAAAGAAUCUUCAAGGAGAAGCAAACAGAAGAAACCAUAAUGAAUUAUCAGAAAGAAGUAAUCAAAUAGAAGAAUUGACAAGGAGAUGGUCAAUCAAUCAAACAAUCAAAUAGAGCCAAACCAAACGAACCAAAUAGACCAAUCUAAAUGGAACCAAACAAAAUCAAAUCAAACAAAUUCAAACUCAACCAAACUGCAAAAUCAAACCAACUAAUACCAUAACAAAGAGCCAUUGAGAAGAAGACAAUCAAAGAGAGAAACCAUCAACAAAGAAGAAACAAUCAAAGAGAGGAGUUGAGACAUUCUCACAAACACAUUGUGAGCAUUAUCUUAACUCACAAAAUUAUUCAAAAGAAACACCAUAAGAUAUUGUUCCACAAACAACCAAAAUAGCUACUAACCAAAAUCAAAUUAAACUAGACAAACCAAAUCAAGACAAACUGAAUCAAAUUAAAAUCAAACCAACAGACCAAACUUUUUUUUAAAAAAAAAACAAACAAAGGAGGAACGAAAUAGCACCGAAGACGCAAACUGCAACUGUGCCGGAACAGAAGCCAACAACCCUAUAAUCGAAGUCACAGAAGAUGAAAGCCAUAAUCAAAAUGUCUCACGUAGUAACCACGUCCAAGAGUCAAGCCGCAACAAUACAGAUCAUGUGCCAAAGCAAUUCUUCUUUUAUUUCCACCUUCUUCAAUGAUGACUAAAUUGAAAUUUCACAAACCAAUUUCAAACCUCUUUCAUUCCACCAACAAAACAACCAGAGACCAUCAAAUUCAAAAUAACCAAGAAAAACAAAAUAAACAAAACUCCCACUCACUAGGGAACUCAAGCAGCGGAAAUUACAGGCAGUUCAAGGCAGAUCGAAACACGCUCUUGAUACCAUGUUAAAAUCAAUCGACGAGAGAAAUACAAAGGAGACUAUCAGGGUUUGAUAACAUUACAAUGAGCAAAGCUUAAUUGCAUAGUCUUACAAUAAGAAUAUAUACUAGGAAAAUAGGUAAAUUGAAAAGUCUAAAAUUACUCUUACUACUAACUACUAAUAAUAACUACUCUAUAUUAUCUGACACAUAAAAUAUAGGAAUGUAACAAGAUCUUUAAGAUCCUUCAAAAAUUAAAAGUUACUAAUAUAUAUAUCCCAUGGUUGAAACUGAAAGCUUCAGUUAAACAAUUAUGCUACCUUACCAAUCCAAUCUAUUCCCACCAAAAGUUUCCAAAAUAAUUAUUCUGACUCGUAUGGCUGAGAAUGACUUUUCUCACUCGCAUAAAAUUAUUAUUCUCACUAGAAAUGCCCCAUUAAAAAUAACUAAUAAAUGAUAACAUUAUUAAAGCAAAGUCAAAUCUGAAGUUUCGGAACCAAAACAUUUCCAGUCAAAAAAAAAAAAAAAACCUUAACAUAGAAGACAGGUCAUAAUAACCAUAACAUUCAACAUUCAAUACUACCAAGGUUGUCAGAACCGGACCGGUCAUCGAAUCGGCGAGCUCACCGGUUCAAGGUUUAAUUGGUCGGACCGAGUUCAAUCGGGGUCGAACUGUUUUUAAUUAAAUAUAUAUUUUAAUUAAAAUAUAAAUAAAAAUAUAUGAAUAAUUGCUCAAUAUUUCAUAAUUUCACACAUUAAAAAGAUAAAAUAUCACAAUUCAAAAUAAAAUAAAAUUUAUAAUUCAAACCAAAUGAAANNNNNNNNNNNNNNNNNNNNNNNNNNNNNNNNNNNNNNNNNNNNNNNNNNNNNNNNNNNNNNNNNNNNNNNNNNNNNNNNNNNNNNNNNNNNNNNNGCCCGGCCGGUUCGCCGGUUCGACCCCAGUUCACGUGUUUUUUUGCCGGUCGGUUUCCUAUCCGUUUUUUGCUCAAAACCGAACCGUUUUCAUGACCGGUUCACGGUCCGACCGGUCCGGUUUUGAUAACCUUGAAUACUACAACCUGCCCCCACUACCUUCAGCCUCAUUAUCCCCUUGCUAGCUUGUACACAACCGUCCUCUCCCAAAACAUUCCCUAUACUAACCUUCAAAACAAUGAAGAAUUUUUUUUUGUUAGAAAACAAGUUAUUUUAAUCAUAAAGUCCUUUCAUUAAGUUCAAUUUUUGAAAACCACAGUUGUCGGCCUAUGCUUAUGCAUAACUCAUUCAUAUUCAUGGCAAACACAAAAGAAAUACAUAAAUUGAAAUAUGUCAUUCGACCUCACUCAUAAUUACAUAAUCUAAAAAAAAAAAUAUAAACCUUGUAUAAAAAAAUAAGGGAUUACCUCUUCUUGGAAGCUUUCACAGUAUUCUUUUCUGAAGCAUUGACAGACCUAUCAUCAUGCUUGCGUUUGAGAAUUCGAUGCUUUUUCAAUCCUUUUGUGAUGUAAGAAAACAUGUUAUUAUAAACAACACAUUCAUAUUCAUAGAAAACACAACACAAAUACAUAAUUGAAAUAUAUCAUUCCUCAUCACUCCUAAUUAUCG
rnacentral:lncRNA from 1 species